rnacentral:misc_RNA from 4 species
UCGUAACAAGGUUUCCGUAGGUGAACCUGCGGAAGGAUCAUUACCGAGUGAGGGCCCUCUGGGUCCAACCUCCCACCCGUGUUUAUUUUACCUUGUUGCUUCGGCGGGCCCGCCUUAACUGGCCGCCGGGGGGCUCACGCCCCCGGGCCCGCGCCCGCCGAAGACACCCUCGAACUCUGUCUGAAGAUUGAAGUCUGAGUGAAAAUAUAAAUUAUUUAAAACUUUCAACAACGGAUCUCUUGGUUCCGGCAUCGAUGAAGAACGCAGCGAAAUGCGAUACGUAAUGUGAAUUGCAAAUUCAGUGAAUCAUCGAGUCUUUGAACGCACAUUGCGCCCCCUGGUAUUCCGGGGGGCAUGCCUGUCCGAGCGUCAUUGCUGCCCUCAAGCCCGGCUUGUGUGUUGGGCCCCGUCCUCCGAUCUCCGGGGGACGGGCCCGAAAGGCAGCGGCGGCACCGCGUCCGGUCCUCGAGCGUAUGGGGCUUUGUCACCCGCUCUGUAGGCCCGGCCGGCGCUUGCCGAUCAACCCAAAUUUUUAUCCAGGUUGACCUCGGAUCAGGUAGGGAUACCCGCUGAACUUAAGCAUAUCAAUAA